rnacentral:rRNA from 1 species
CAUGGCUGUCGUCAGCUCGUGUCGCGAGAUGUUGGGUUAAGUCCCGUAACGAGCCGCAACCCUUGUCCUUAGUUACCAGCACGUUAUGGUGGGCACUCUAAGGAGACUGCCGGUGACAAACCGGAGGAAGGUGGGGAUGACGUCAAGUCAUCAUGGCCCUUACGGCCUGGGCUACACACGUGCUACAAUGGUCGGUACAAAGGGUUGCCAAGCCGCGAGGUGGAGCUAAUCCCAUAAAACCGAUCGUAGUCCGGAUCGCAGUCUGCAACUCGACUGCGUGAAGUCGGAAUCGCUAGUAAUCGUGAAUCAGAAUGUCACGGUGAAUACGUUCCCGGCCUU